AGUGAACGCUGGCGGUAGGCCUAACACAUGCAAGUCGAACGGAAGCACAGUAAGAGCUUGCUCUUACGGGUGGCGAGUGGCGGACGGGUGAGGAAUACAUCGGAAUCUACUUUUUCGUGGGGGAUAACGUAGGGAAACUUACGCUAAUACCGCAUACGACCUACGGGUGAGAUCAGGGGAUAUUCGGACCUUGCGCGAUUGAAUGAGCCGAUGUCGGAUUAGCUAGUUGGCGGGGUAAAGGCCCACCAAGGCGACGAUCCGUAGCUGGUCUGAGAGGAUGAUCAGCCACACUGGAACUGAGACACGGUCCAGACUCCUACGGGAGGCAGCAGUGGGGAAUAUUGGACAAUGGGCGCAAGCCUGAUCCAGCCAUACCGCGUGGGUGAAGAAGGCCUUCGGGUUGUAAAGCCCUUUUGUUGGGAAAGAAAAGCAGCAGGUUAAUACCCCGCUGUUCUGACGGUACCCAAAGAAUAAGCACCGGCUAACUUCGUG
rnacentral:rRNA from 1 species